rnacentral:lncRNA from 1 species
CAUGCAGUUAGAAAUACAAUAAUUACAAUUACAUGCAUCUUGUUUGACUCGAUGUAGCAAAAAGAAUUGCAAAUAUAAAUAAUUUAUUUGAUUGCGUGAUAAUUAAGAAAUGUAUUUUCAAAAUUUUAUCACUUUAUAUAUGUGAUAAAAAGAUUUCCUCCAAUAUAAGAAAAAGAAAAUUAUAUUUAAAAAGUGAUUAGGGAGGUAAACUUAUCUGUUGUUUGAAGUUACUCUCUACAACUGCUACAACUAAAAUUGCAACUAAUUUGGACGCAAUUCCAACUAUUGCAAUUAAGCCUCCUCAUACAAUUCCAACUGCAGUAGUUUGAUUCAAAUGCAUCAGGCUAAAUAUCGGAUUUGAAUUUACAUAUAAUUACAAUUCCAAUGCAGUUGCAACUAUAUACAUU